rnacentral:lncRNA from 1 species
AGCCCCUCUCAUCUGCUGGUGAGGCUUCAACCACUGGCAGACGUGCUCCUCUUUGGGCUGCUUACUGUGCUCCUGCAGCCCAUAAGCGCUUCGGAGGGGUGCAGUUGCUAUGGCAAUGCCUACAGCCAUCUGAAUUCCUGCUGCACCUUCUGGAAGAAAAGAGCGCAUGAAGAAGCAUUCGGUGGAUUCCCAGUCUGGCCUCUGGCCUCUGCACUGUCAGGAGUCAGCUGAUGGGUUACAUGCCGGACACGUGGGAGGUAGGUAGCCUGCCUUCCUUGGGAAGACACACUCUGUACCCGCAAGCCUCGUGCGCCCGGACGGGUUCUCCUUGUGUGGAUCAGAAAACUAAAUGAGGUGUCCUACUCAGGGCUCCUAGGUAAUAUACUGCACCAGUGGUUCUCAGACUUAAGCAUGCCCGUGAAUCCCCUGGAGGGCUUGUUAAAAUACAGAUAGCAUGACCAUGCCUCCAGAGUCUCGGAUUCAGCAGAUCUUGGGUAGAACCAGAGAAUUUGCAGCCAACAAGCUCACAGGUGACGGUGGUGCCAUUGGUCCAAAGACCACACUCUGAGAUUCACAGGACAACACUUGGAUGAAGAAGAAAACAAAGCAGUGCAGGAAGCCAUCGCCCAUCAGUGAAGAAGGGCCAGAGUCAGCCGUCUAUUUUAAAGGAAGAAAGGGCCCUGGGCAUGGGUGCUGGAACUGGGAUCCCUAGUCUAAGUUGGUUUUGGUCCCCAGCAAUCAAUGAAGACUCUCCCAGACAUGAAGGUGGGCAGCACUGAAGGAGCACCAGGUCCCGGAGCCCAGCUGUGCAUUAGAUGUUGUCUCUGCAGCACAAGGUAGGAGGCUGCAGGAUGUACCUGAGAAAUGCAAUCGCACAAAGCAAUUGUUCAGCACCAAAUAUGGGGGACAGAAGAGUGCUAAGGGAAGAAGACUCCAACCAUACUGUCAUCUUGGGAGCGUCCUGUGGAGAGGCCCACGUGGCAAGGAGCUGAGGGCAGCCUCUGGCCAAUAGCCAGCAUUGAAUUGAAGCCCUCAGUCCACCAACCUGUGAGGAACUAGAUUCUGUCAACAACAACCAUGUGAGUGAGGCUGGAAGUGGAUCCUU